GUCCAGAUCAUACAAAAAAAUUUACAAAAGAUACAAGGGAGAAGAAUAAGAAUAACUUUAUUGAUCCCCGAAGGAAAAUCCAAUUAUCUGUCAUCUCAUUUGUCAUGUCUCAAAAGUCAUCUACUAUUUAUAAAAGAGUUGUAAAGUCUGAUGGCUGUGGGUCCAAAAGAUCUUCUGAAUCUUUCUGUCCUGCAGUGAAGAGAGAGGAGCCGUCCACCACCAUUGGCCCUUUGGUCCAUUAACGUGUUGUUAAGUGGUUGAUCCAUGUUCUUUAAAAUAGUCUCCACCUUCCUCAGUGUAGAUCUCUCCACCACAUCCUCCGGUGAGUCCAAAUUGAAUCCAACCACAGAGCCAACCUUUUUCACCAGUAUGUUCAGACGUUUUGCAUCUUUGUGUUUGAUACUUCCUCCCUAGCAGACUGCAGCACAGAACACAACACUUGCCACCACAGACUGAUAAAACAUCUGCAGCAUCUUACUACACAUGUCUAUUGAUCGGAGUCUUCUCAGGGAAAAGAGGCGGCUCUGCCACUUUCUGUGGGUGAAGUCUAUGUUCUUAGACCAGUCCACUCUACAUGCUUGUUUUCUUCUGCAGUUGUAGACACACUUGUUCUGUCUCUAACCAUGUUCAUAAUAGCAGAGAGACUCAGAAUUUGAAUACUGAGACAACCCCCCCUACACACACACCUCUGAAGAGCCAUGUGACAUUCUUGGACUAGUCUAGUGUCACUAUAUUCUAUUAUACACAGAACAAAAUGUCUCUCUCUAUUAUGAAACAACAUUUGUAGGUUUGAAAAAUGUUAUAACUCCUCCACCACAAAGAGUACUUCCCUUCAAACAGAGCAGCCAGUGGACUCCUUCAACCUUUGAGAUUGAAUGUGUGUAUUCAGCUCUUGUUUAGUUUUAUACAGUUUAUCACAUCCAGGGCAGCUAUAGGGUCUCUCCUCUGUGUGAACUCUCAUGUGGCUUGACACUUCUUGUUUAGUUUUGAAUGUUUUGCCACAUUCUGAGCAGCUGAAGGGUCUCUCAUCUGAGUGAACUCUAAUGUGGCUUGCCACUUCUUUUUUAGUUUUGAAUGUUUUGCCACAUUCUGAGCAGCUGAAGGGUCUCUCAUCUGAGUGAACUCUCAUGUGGCUUGCCACUUCUCUUUUAGUUUUGAAUGUUUUGCCACAUUCUGAGCAGCUUAAGGGUCUCUCAUCAGAGUGAACUCUCAUGUGAUUGGUCCUCAGCUCUUUUGUUUUAAACAAUUUACCACAUUCUGAGCCGCUGAAGUGUCUCUCAUCUGUAUGAACUGCCAUGUGUUGUACUAGAUUAUUUUUAGAUUUGAAUUUUUUGUGACAUUCUGAGCAGCUGAACGGUCUCUCCUCUGAGUGAACUCUCAUGUGUUGUCCCAGGUCUUUUUUAGUUUUGAAUGUUUUGCCACAGUCUGGGCAGCUGAAGGGUCUCUCCCAUGUGUGAACUCUCAUGUGGCUUGCCAGUUUCUUUUUAGUUUCGACUGUUUUGCCAUAUUUAGUGCAGCUGAAGGGUCUCUCAUCUGAAUGAACUGCCAUGUGUUGUACUAGAUUAUGUUUGGAUUUGUAUUUGUUGUGACACUCUGGGCAGCUGAAGGGUCUCUCCUCUGAGUGAACUCUCAUGUGUUGUCCCAGGUCUUUUUUAGUUUUGAAUGUUUUGCCACAGUCUGGGCAGCUGAACGGUCUCUCCUCUGUGUGAACUUUCAUGUGUUGUCCCAGUUGUCCUUUAUUUUUGAAUGUUUUGCCACACUCUGGGCAGCUGAAGGGUCUCUCCUCUGAGUGAACUGGCUUGUGGUGCGCCAGUUCUCCUUUAGUUUUGAACGGUUUGCCACAGUCUGGGCAGCUGAAGGGUUUCUCAUCUGAGUGAAGUAUCAUGUGGCUUGCCAGGUUAUUUUUAGCUUUGAAUGUUUUGCCACAUUCUGAGCAGCUGAAGGGUCUCUCAUCUGAGUGAACUCUCAUGUGGCUUGCCAGGUCGUAUUUAGUUUUGAAUGUUUUGCCACAAUCUGAGCAGCUGAAGGGUCUCUCAUCUGAAUGAACUGCCAUGUGUUGUCCUAGUUUAUUUUUAGUUUUGAAUGUUUUGCCACAGUUUGGGCAGCUGAAUGGUCUCUCCUCUGAGUGAACUGGCUUGUGGUGCAUCAGUUCUCCUUUAGUUUUGAACGGUUUGCCACAGUCUGAGCAGCUGAAGGGUCUCUCAUCUGAAUGAACUGCCAUGUGUUGUCCUAGUAUAUAUUUAGUUUUGAAUGUUUUGCCACACUCUGGGCAGCCGAAGGGUCUCUCAUCUGAAUGAACUGACAUGUGUUGUCCUAGUGUUUUUUUAGUUUUGAAUGUUUUGCCACACUCUGGGCAGCUGAAGGGUUUCUCAUCU
rnacentral:lncRNA from 1 species